rnacentral:rRNA from 1 species
GUAAGGAAUAUUGGACAAUGGACGCAAGUCUGAUCCAGCCAUGCCGCGUGAAGGAUUAAGGUCCUCUGGAUUGUAAACUUCUUUUAUAAGGGACGAAAAAAGGCUUUUCUAAGUCGUCUGACGGUACCUUAUGAAUAAGCACCGGCUAACUCCGUGCCAGCAGCCGCGGUAAUACGGAGGGUGCAAGCGUUAUCCGGAUUCACUGGGUUUAAAGGGUGCGUAGGCGGGCAGGUAAGUCAGUGGUGAAAUCCUAGAGCUUAACUCUAGAACUGCCAUUGAUACUAUCUGUCUUGAAUAUUGUGGAGGUAAGCGGAAUAUGUCAUGUAGCGGUGAAAUGCUUAGAUAUGACAUAGAACACCUAUUGCGAAGGCAGCUUACUACGCAUAUAUUGACGCUGAGGCACGAAAGCGUGGGGAUCAAACAGGAUUAGAAACCCCGUAGUCC